UACGAAGGGGGCUAGCGUUGCUCGGAAUCAUUGGGCGUAAAGGGUGCGUAGGUGGCGCCGUAAGUGGGGUGUGGAAUCUCGGGGCUUAACUCCGAAACUGCAUUCCAUACUGCGGUGCUCGAGGACUGGAGAGGAGACUGGAAUUUACGGUGUAGCAGUGAAAUGCGUAGAGAUCGUAAGGAAGACCAGUGGCGAAGGCGGGUCUCUGGACAGUUCCUGACACUGAGGCACGAAGGCCAGGGGAGCAAACGGG
rnacentral:rRNA from 1 species